ensembl:snRNA U6 U6 spliceosomal RNA
UUGCUUUGUCAGCACAUAUAGUGAAAUUGGAAUGAUACAGAGAAGAUAAGCACGGUCCUUGUAAAGGAUGACAUGUAUAUUUGUGAAGCAGUCCAUUUUUUU